rnacentral:lncRNA from 1 species
CCUCAGGUUAAUGUGUCUCUUUACCAGUUCCUAUCUCAAGAGUGUGGCUGGUGUCAUCUGGGCCCAGUCAGGUGCUUCUGUCCUCGGUGACUUCUGGACCCCUGUGAUCAUGAUUACUGAACUUCAUUCCUGACUCACUGUCAAUGCAGGUGGUCAGAAGAUAGCUUGGAAGAGUAAAACCUCAGGGCCCCCCUCCAUCCCUCCUUCCAGCCUUGACUUGGUGAUUUGCCAGCUCCAGCAGCCUUCUUGUCCACUGCUUUGAUGACACCCACGGCAACUGUCUGUCUCAUAUCACGAACAGCGAAAUGACCCAGAGGUGGAUAGUCAGAGAAGCUCUCGACACCUAUGGGCUUGCCUGGAACCAUGUCAGUGAUGGCAGCAUCAUCAGAUUUCAAGAAUUUGGGGCCAUUUUCCAGCUUCUUACCAGACCGGCGGUCAAUCUUUACUUUCAGCUCAGCAAACUUGCAAGCGAUGUGAGCUGUAUGGCAGUCCAGUACAGGAGCAUAGCCAGCACUGAUCUGGCCUGGAUGGUUUAGGAUAAUCACCUGAGCAGUGAAACCAGCUGCUUCCAUUGGUGGGUCAUUUUUGCUGUCACCACCAACAUUGCCACGAUGAACAUCUUUGACAGACACAUUCUUGACAUUGAAGCCCACAUUGUCACUGAAAGAGCUUCACUCAAAGCCUCAUGGUGCAUUUCAACAGACUUUACUUCAAUUGUGACAUUGACUGGUGCAAAGGUGGCCGCCAUGCCAGGGUUGAGAGCAUCAGCCUCCACUCUGCCCACAGAGACGGUACCGAUACCACCAAUUUUGUAGACAUCCUGGAGGGGCAGCUGCAAAGGCUUGUCAGUUGGGCAAGGUGGCUCAGUGGAAUCCAUUUUGUUAACACCAACAAUGAGUUGUUUCACACCCAGCAUAUAAGCCAGAAGGGCAUGCUCACGGGUCUGCCUGUUCUUGGAGAUACCAGCUUCAAAUUCACCAACACCAGCAGCAACAAUCAGGACAGCACAAUCAGCCUGAGAUGCACCUGUAAUCAUGUUUUUGAUAAAGUCUGUGUGUCCUGGAGCAUCAAUGAUAGCCACAUAAUACUUGCUGGUCUCAAAUUUCCACAGGGAGAUGUCCAUAGUGAUACCAUGCUCAUGCUUGGCUUUGAGUUUAUCCAAGACCCAGGUGUACUUGAAAGAACCCUUCCCCAUCUCAGCAGCCUCCUUCUCAAAUUUUUCAAUGGUCCUUUGUCAAUGCCACCACAUUUGUAGAUCAGAUGGCCAGUAGUGGUGGACUUGCCCAAAUCCAUGUGUCUGAUGACAACGAUAUUGAUAUGAGUCUUUUCCUUUCCCAUGUUGGCUUUGAUUUAGUGGUGGUUUUCAUUAUACCUGUGCUCUUGUGGCAAACCCAUUGUGAAAAAGCCAUUGUUGGGAUCUUGUACCUUUACAUGAUGUAUCUUGGUUCUUAUUUUUUUCCCAUUUCCCUGCCCUUCCUUCACCCCCUCCACUCUUCCCUAUUUGCAAAGACUUUGUUUCCAUUUUAACUUUUCUCAUAUUUUUUCUUUUCCCUUAUUUCCUUCCCCCUAUGUAUUCCACUUCCCCUACUCCUUUAGAGAUUUUCUUCCUAUUUCACAUUAUCAAUUAUACUAUUUGAACUUUAUUUACACUUUUAGAUUUUCACAC